rnacentral:lncRNA from 1 species
UAAAAUUGGCUGACUCAGAAGACGCAGUUACUUAACAGAGAGAAAGAAAAAAAGCUGCAGUCUCCUCAAAGCGGUGAAUAAUGAUGACAGCUAGAAUAUUGAGGGCCAAAAUCAGAAUGGAUCGUUACUGAUUUUGUUUCCAGUUUCCACCACAUGUAUCCAUGUAGCAUAAAGUCUACUUGUCAAGGAACUCCCAGAAGUCUACUUGUCAAGGAACUCCCAGUAGAUACAGAUACAGCAAAUAACGAAACAACCAAGCCAAUGACUUCUUGCUAACUAAAAAUUAUGAGUGAAUUUCACAUCAUAGAAGUGGAGAAAAGAUGAUGCUUUAAAAGAUGAUGGCUGCCAACCAGAUGAUAAUGUCAGUACAAUCCACUUCUGGCAUUUAUUAUUGCAUGCAAAAUCUGAAGUAUAUCACCCAGAACAAGAUGAUUUGAACAUGAUUUCUUUAAUGUAAUUGCAGCUUGAUACCUGUAAACAAGCAAUAAGCGGCAUUAACAACAAAUGGUAACAGCAGAAUACAGACCACCGAGCAGCAGUAUGUGCCUGCACUGGGAUGCCAUUAUUGCAGAACGUCCCUCACUUGAAGAAUGAAAUUUCUGAACUGCAUCACAUUUAGCUUUUGGAUGCUUAACAUUACCAUCCAUAAUGUUGGCACAUAUCCAAAGCCUAUCAGGCUCCGCUCACUGUUUUUUGUGAGCUGUUGUGUCAGGGAAGGAGGAUCAGGCUCCUGUAUGAUUCAACUGGGUAGUUCCCUCUGCUUCACAACUUGAAAUGCUUGGAAGAGACAUCUGAUUUGGUUGUUGCACACUGUGUUUGGGUUCUGCAUCAAGAUUAUCAGAAUUUCCAUUGACAUAUCCUGCCUUUAUUCUGGAUAAAGGCUGCCUUGGAUUCAUUUGAAUGAGUUUCUCCAUGUUUGCUACAUUUUAUGUUCGGCCUUUCCAUUGUCGUGCAUAUUUCAGUUUGCCAAAUAGAAGCUAUAGAUAUCUGCAUUGCCUGAAUAUUGUCUGGAAUAAAUUUCUUGGUUGUUUCUGCAUAUAAUUCAUAUAAGAGCACUAGCAGCCAUAUAACAUCUGUUGAUAAGGAACUCUCCUCCAUUGGGAUUUCUCAGACAAGAAGUUCACUGCAUAUAUUGUGUAUGAAGAAGAGGUCUAACUAGUAAAUUUGUGGGCUAAAAACAAUCAUCUGAUACACAAUAUGCACAAAGACAGGGACCGCUUCACCUGCAGUUUUUGAACAGAGAUCUAGA